UAUUCCUCAACCCAGUCCUCAUGGGCCACCAAUAGUCCAGGUUUUGUCAGUAUCUCAACUGGAAUAAAACAGGGAAAUACAUAAAUCCUGGACUGUUGGUGGUCCACGAGGACUGGGUUGGGGAAC